GGAAGAGCAAUGUAAACUAGAAAAGCCCUCUUAAUUUAUUUGAGAGCUAAGUGGUUUAUGUGUAAGCUGUUUCCAGAAGAUCUUCAUGGUGAUUCUGCUGAUAAACAUUUAAUAAGUCAGAUCCUGUGUUUUCCUUACUCAUACCUCAGUCAGUUUUGGGUAUAAAGACCAUAUUUGUGUAACUUACAUAUGGAGCACACAAGGCAGAGUGUGCGCUUCCACAAUAAGCCUCUUCUGUUUCAUAAAUUAUACUAGUGGAUAACUGAAGCAUGAGGCAUAAAAAUGGCAUGGAGCUCCUUAGCCAGCCUUAAGGAAGGUCUCAAAAGAGGAAGAGACAAUGAGUAGGAACCUUGGAGCCAGGUUUAAGCGCUUGACCAGC
rnacentral:lncRNA from 1 species